rnacentral:tRNA from 5 species
GCGCCGAUAGUCUAGAGGUAGGACACUGCUUUCCCAAAGCAGGAGCCCGGGUUCGAACCCCGGUCGGCGCA